UUGUCACUUUCCCAUGGUCAACCAAACAUGCCAAAAGUACUUUCCUAGGCAUCCUUUUCCUAGGAAUUUGUUUCCCAGGAAUCAUAUUCCUAGGAAGGAAAAUGCUUCCCGCGAACCAAACGAGCCAAUAGUUUGUUCAGAUUACCCAUGACCGUGCCUCCAAAGAGAGGCUAUUUGAUGCCAGUUUUUUAUUUAUUUUCUUUUCUUGGCUGCCUUUUUUUAUUGAAUACAUGGAAUCCUUGUGCGCAUAUUGCAUGAUCUACAGCUUUUUGUGUUGGACGUUGACCCAGGGACUACAGUAAGAAAGAAGGAAAGUCUGGGACUGGAUGGUAUGAUUACUCAUCUUAGUUUCACUCUGAAUUAGAUGUAAUACAUUGUAUCCUCCUUCCCUUUGCAUGCGAUAAGCGUUAUAUAUAACACCUUGUAGGCUGGAGCUGUUGCUUUGCUCUAUUUGGUGUGUCUGUUGAUGUCUUAAAAUUACUCAAACAGAAGAGUAUAAUGCAUGAACAUUAGGACGAUGUUUUUUUAACCCGAUAAAACAUUGUUUUCAUGAGGUGGUCUGAUAUUUAUGCGGUCUGAUAUUUAACCUUCAAGACCAGUAUCUCGUCUUCAAGAAGAUCAAGCAACAGCAAUGGUUAUUACAUACAAAAAGCAAUUCGAGAGGUAAUUGGCUACCAGACUCGCAAUUACUGAAAUCUAAGGGGAAAAAUUGGGUGACAAUUUAUUCUCAAAAUUAAAAGGUUGCUUGGUGAAAGCAUUCCUCCACCCUUUGAUCAUUUUUUUUAUUUUUUAUUUUUUUUUUGAUGUGAAGAACUUAUGUUAUUCAAAUCCUGAUAAGUAAAGAUCUAACAUCUUGUUUGUUUUUAUACCCUUCCUUCAGCUUUUGUGUGUUCUUGCAGGCCCAACAGGUCAGCUGAAAUCCCUUGUUUCUAAAAGCUUCUCUCCAACUGCAUUGGUAGCUGUUAUUCUACCAACAACCAAUUACAGAAUCUAUGAGAAAGGAUCGAUGACCGCAAGAUGAUUGUGUUCCAAACUUCAUUAUUUCACCUGCUUGGCCGGAAAAAGUUAGCAUCAUGGACAAAACCUCAUGAGAUCAGUGUAUCAUACUUGGGAGCAUGAGACAUUGGAAAGAUGUGAAUGAAAGUAUCGAGUGUGCGAGCAAGUACAUUAUCGAAUUUUGGGACCAUUUGUUUUGAGGAUUUGACUGUGGAAAUCAUGUUCGACGUAUUAUUGACACAUUUGGAUGGACAAGGAUUGGAAAGAAAUGACAUUUUUUUAGAGUGUAUUUGCAUGAAUGCAAGAGCAGAAGGAUUCAUGAAUACAUAAACCAUAUUUUGUA